rnacentral:rRNA from 1 species
GAUGAACGCUGGCGGCGUGCCUAAUACAUGCAAGUCGAGCGAAUGGAUUAAGAGCUUGCUCUUAUGAAGUUAGCGGCGGACGGGUGAGUAACACGUGGGUAACCUGCCCAUAAGACUGGGAUAACUCCGGGAAACCGGGGCUAAUACCGGAUAACAUUUUGAACCGCAUGGUUCGAAAUUGAAAGGCGGCUUCGGCUGUCACUUAUGGAUGGACCCGCGUCGCAUUAGCUAGUUGGUGAGGUAACGGCUCACCAAGGCAACGAUGCGUAGCCGACCUGAGAGGGUGAUCGGCCACACUGGGACUGAGACACGGCCAGACUCCUACGGGAGGCAGCAGUAGGGAAUCUUCCGCAAUGGACGAAAGUCUGACGGAGCAACGCCGCGUGAGUGAUGAAGGCUUUCGGGUCGUAAAACUCUGUUGUUAGGGAAGAACAAGUGCUAGUUGAAUAAGCUGACACCUUGACGGUACCUAACCAGAAAGCCACGGCUAACUCUGUGCCAGCCGCCGCGGUAA